rnacentral:SRP_RNA from 1 species
GCUGGGCGCGGUGGCACAUGCCUGUAGUCUCAGCUACUCGGGAGGCUGAGGUGGGAGGAUCGCUUGAGCCCAGGAGUUCUGGGCUGUAGUGCACUAUGCCGAUCGGGUUCUAAGUUCGGCAUCAAUAUGGUGACCUACCGGGAGCGGGGACCACCAGGUUGCCUAAGGAAGGAUGAAUCGGCCCAGGUCAGAAACGGAGCAGGUCAAAACUCCCGUGCUGAUCAAUAGUGGGAUGGUGCCAGUGAAUAGCCACUGCACUUCAGCCUGAGCAACAUAGGGAGACCCUAUGUCUC